rnacentral:lncRNA from 1 species
GUUUUAUCGCUUGCUUAUUGAGAGGUAAAAAACAGAACCAAUUUGCCACUUUGCCCUCUCAGAUAAUUUUGAAAAUUUCUUCCUUAAAGACUCUGCUUUUCAGGCUUGGGGGAACAUCAGUUCUUUCUACCAGACAUUGUUGUUAACAAAUGGAAGAGGCCUGAUUCAUGAUCAAGAAGAGGCCAAGGCCUAGUUGGUGGCCUUGAGCAGUUCAUCCCUGGUUUGCCUGAAAUCACUGAGUUCAGAGCAAGGAGAUUCAAAGAUCAUCUAGGCUGGUGUUUUCAAACUGUAUUUUUAAACUGAUGAAUCUGCUUUCCCCAAGAAAUCUCUCCUAGCUCUCUUCUCAUCUUUCAUCCCAUUGUGACCACACAGAAAACAGCUGCUCUAAUUGUCCUGCUGCUUGACAGUGAUAGUCAAACACUACAAGUGAGGAGGUUUAAGGCUGAGAGAAGGGGAGUGAAGUAACUGACUGGACAUCCCAAAGUUAGGUGGUCCUGAGAGCCAGGUGCUGACAGCUGCCUCACCUUAAGAGUCUCCUUUCGUUAUGGCAUCUGGAAAGAUCUCACAUGGCAGGCCUGCUUCUAGUUCCUUCUUCCUAGUGUGUCUGAGGAAAUCCAAUCUCUCCCACUCCAGCCCGCCUACUCAUUGAACAUGGCUGCUAUCUCUGUCUUCUGGAAACACGGCUCCAAUCCUGCAACAACUCUAUACAAGAGCUCCCAGUGGUUCUUAACCUUGGCUGAGCAACAGACCCAUUUGGGAAGAUUUUUAAAAAUCUAGCUUAUGAGAUACCUCAGAUCAAUCAAUCCCUGGCAGUGGGUCUGCUAAACAUCAGAUACAGACAAACAACUGCAUAGAUCUCCAACUAGAUUGAAGAACAGGACCCUCCAGAGAGCUUCCAAGAAGACACCAACCUAGGCAUGGGUUUAUGUUCCUGACAAAGAAUAAGGAUUGUUAUGAAGAAUGUUCUAUUUUGAAUUGUGAAAAUAAUUAUUUAAAGCUGUACAAUUUUUUUUGUUUGUUUGUUCUGAGACAAGGUAUCACUCUGAAGACAAGGUCACCCAGGCUGAAGUAAUAUGGCAUGGUCUCAGCUCACUGCAACCUCUGCCUCCCAGGUUCAGUGAAAGCUUUCACUAGACCUUGAUGGCACUAUGGUCAUUAUCUUGUCAAAACUGUGGUGGAUUUGAAGAGCUAGUGAUGAAGAAUGGAGGUUUCCUGUCCUAGAAAUAACCAAAGGCCCAGGCUUGGAGGUGGCAGAAAAAGUGGCACUUAAGGAACAUGGACGGAGCUGGAGGCUACUAUCCUUAGCAAACUAAUGCAGGAACAGAAAACCAAAUGCUGCAUAUCUAAGUGGGAGCUGAAUGUUACUAGCCCAGUAUUUGGAAUUUGCCAAAGCUAUAUUCCUCAGAAUUUACUUCAAGAGCUCCUUUGUAUCGGCGGAGAAUGAAGAACGGAGAAGAGGAGGAGGAGGUUGAAAGAAACUUAAGAGAUGUGGCAACUAAUUGCAACGUGUAGAUUGUAUUUAGCUCAUGAUUCACACAAA